GUGUCCUCUGCAGAGCUGGUGGCAGGGUGUACUUCCGUCAGUAAAGGUGGGUGUGCCAGCGCCCAGCAUCUCAGCUCCCUGAUAGGAGAGCGCCCCUUCGCCUGCAGCUGGCAGGACUGCAACAAGAAGUUCGCGCGCUCUGACGAGUUGGCGCGGCACUACCGCACACACACGGGGGAAAAGAAGUUCAGCUGCCCCAUCUGCGACAAGCGCUUCAUGCGCAGCGACCACCUGACCAAGCACGCGCGCCGCCACGCCAACUUCCACCCCGGGAUGCUGCAGCGGCGCGGCGGGGGUUCGCGAACCGGCUCGCUUAGCGACUACAGCCGCUCGGACGCCAGCAGCCCCACCAUCAGCCCAGCCAGCUCGCCCUGAGCGCCUGCGCGCGGGGCGGGGCCUGUGGCAAGCCACGCCCCACCAGGCCAUGCCACGCCCUGAGGCCCCGCCUCCUUACCACAGCCAUGAGCAGAUGCUCUCACUUCUCGUGAUUCCGUGUCUUUUCCUUUUGUAAUAAGAAGAGAGAAGAAAAAAAGAGAGAGAACUUUAUGAAGUCGACGACAACAACAACAACAAAAAAACAAUUUUCUUCACCUCAGGUGUCAAAUUUGUAAAAAACAAAAAAACCACAAUGAAAAAAAAUUCCAAAAAACACCAUCCACAAUUGCACAAGAGACAUACCCACGCAGGUGAGAUUCAGCGGUGUUGAGCCUUCCCCCCUCCCCCCCUUUCUCAGGGAUGGACAUGUUCCAUGAGGUCAGUGAGGACACCCCCUUCUUGCCGCCUUAUUCUGUACAUAGAUUUCCACUCUGGAGUUUCCUUUAAGGUUUGGGCACACACUGGGGGCCCGAGCAGUGCAGGUGGAGCUCCCCGCGGGCGGCAGAUGGAGCGGUGGUCACCAGCCUUGUGCUUUUAGGGCAGACCCCUGAGCAGGGCCCAUGGCUCCCUCUUCCUGCCCCCUGCCCAGCCUCAGGCUCGCCCCAGUGGCAGUGGGCUAAGAAUGCAGAGGACUCUGAGGGACACUUCAAGCCGUGAUGGGCAAGGGGAACAGUCCUCACCUCUGGGACCCUGCCCAGGUCCCUCUCAAGCGCUGGAAGCAGAGAUGCAAUCCUGGGUUGGGCAGACCGAUGCACCGUCUGAUGUCCACACGGCUGUGUGAUGCUGUGUCCCCGCAGAAGGCGCCAGGACCUUCCACAAUUAUACCACGUCCUCUGACUGGCCUUCUACAAGGAUGUCCAAAGGUGUCACCGGUGCAUCCAGUUCCUACAUUUUCCCCGACUGACCCUGCUCAUGAGACGCCUUUGUUUGACACGGUGGGUAAAGCGGGGCUCUGUGCGUGUGGCCUGCAGUGGCCGUGCGUAGCACUCCACAGAGACUGUUUGGUAGCAAGAGACCGGAACAUUGUGACUUGGAACUUUGGGGGGUAGCAAGGCGGACGCUAUGGGAAAUGCAGUCGGAGAACAUACAUUCUCUUUCCUCCCCGGGGAGCACCGUACAGAAGUUGUGGGAAGUGCUUUUUUUCAGACCCACCGUGUCCCCAGCUGAGACUCAGCGAACGCUCAGCUUCUCCGUGAGCUGUGUCCCCUGGACUCCUCCCUCCCUGGUCUCCCCCUCCCACCUGGGAGGCCCCAGCCCACCCCCAGCCUUGGGGCACUGGGGUGUAGGGUCCCCAUUGCCAGCCUUCCCGAGCAGAGAGCUGGGGACAUCUCUCCGGGAGCCCCGACCCGGGCAGGUGGGUCAGGCAGGCUCCAGCAUGCUCCCCUGUGGAGAGCUGGGGCAGCCCCCGCCCAGGCACCUCCCUGGCCUUCCUCCAGGGAGUCAGGGCCUGUAAAUACAAGUCCCCAGGACAGUGUGUGUAUGUGUGUGUGUGUGUAUGUGUGUGUGUGUUGGGGCAGGGGUGUGGGUUUGGGAAGGACUUGGGGUAUCUUGCAGAGACCUCUGUUCAUUUCGAUGAGGAGGAAUGACCCUUGGGACCUCAGAGGGCCAUAGAGGGGCUUCCCUGAGCCCAGAGUGCCUUGGUUGUGGCCAUCUUGCUUCUGCCCCCACCCGAUCACAAUGAGGGGUACAGCACGGAGGAGGUCCCGAGACCCAGCCCCAGCUGGUGCUCAUGGGCCCUGGGCGGCUCCAGAGCACAUGGGCGCCCCCAUGUCCUUAGCAGCUGCCAUCCUCUGCGCUCCGGGUGCCCAUUUCUAACUCUGCUGUGUCAUCUGGGGUCAGCCAGUGGUGUGAUAGUGGCUUCUGAGAGCAUGGCAGGUACGAGGUGGGCAGGUGCAUCGCUCUUGCUAUGCAUGGGAACCGGGCAGAAGCGGCAUGGGGGUGAGGCCUCACCCUGACCUCUGUUGGGGCUGGGUGGCAGCCCUGCUCGCAUUUGGUCCAGGACAGAGAACAGAAUGUGCUGGACACCUGGACAGAGCAGUGCCCUGAGCACCAGGGGUGAGAGCUUUUCAUGCCCAGUCCCCAGGUGAGGCUGGCAGGGCCCUCGGAGUUCCCUCCCAAGGCCGUUUCUGUGUGGGGCCGAGAAAGCCACACUCUGAAUACAUUUCAUGUCUCAGGAACUCACAUUCCAGGUUCAGGAAUUUUAUUCCAAAGUCCUUUGGUGCGCUCACUGCCCACGCGGUCCCCAAAGUCAGGGAGGGGGGCCACGUGCCCCGCGGGAGCCUGGUGUCUCCUCGCGACCUGGCUGUGGCAUUGCCGAGGAAAGAGGGUUUCAGAGCCCACGUCUCUCUGCACAUAGGAAGAGGGGAAAGGACUCUAAACCCAGUCAUCUUGGAAUAAAAGAAGAGCUGGUUUGUUUUGGGGGGGGUGGGGGAGGGAGGGAAAGCGGGCGUUUGCUGUUCCCAAAGAGAGCACUUAAUUUAAUUUUUCCUCUAAGUGACCCAGGGCUGUUCCGUCUGCUAGAUGGAAGGGUAACAUUGCCUUAAAACAGAAAUAUGCAGGCGCGGGCUAUUUUUGGCAGAUGAGUGUGUCCUCGUUCCCAAAGCAGUUUUGGUCUAAUGGCAGGGUGCGGACCUUCUGAAGUGGGCCUGGCCCAGGACACGGGCUCCUGCUUCUCUGCCUUCGGGCAUCUGGAGAGAACUGGCUGGUACCCAGAGCACUCGGCCUGGAGCUCCAGCCAGCAGGCCAUCCUGGCUCACCUGAGGCUAAAAUUCAUCUCACUUGAAGGGUGGGGGAAAUCCAUGCAUCUCAGGCUAGGUUCAAAUGGGCUUUUGCUAGCAUCUCAUCAUCAUGACAUAUGGAAGGAGAGAGUGCAGGCCCUCCCUCGCUCAGACCCCCAUGGGAAGUGGUUGCAUGGUGGUGGGGGUGGGUGGAGGACCCUGCUGAACAGCCUGCAUUUUUUUUCUAAGUAGAAUGUCUUCCCGGCCCAGGUCUGUUUCAGGGUCUUUGAUUUUUCUGGUUUAUGGUCAUGCUUGCUGACUUCAGUGUGACAACUUCUAGAAACAGUAGUGAAAACUCCAACCUUUAUUGUGUGCUGACUAGUUCUUGUAGGCCAAGGGGGCAGAGAUCUCAAAAUGAAGGUUGCCUGAGUGAAGGGAGAGGUUCCCCUCCAAGAAGGCCUACAGGCGACCCUGGGCUCAACCUGGGGGCUGGUGUUUGGCCCUUGUCCCAAACAAGGAAGCCCUCAGCGUCAGCCAUAUUAGGGUUGUCAGCACGCUAAACGCCUACCCUGUUCUAUAGCCAUGAGGAAAGAUGAGCCCCUUCCACAGCAGGCCAUGGGGUGCUGUGUGGGGAUGUGACCCUGUGGGUGCCCACCUUGCAGCCUGCUGCAGCCCAUGCACCAUACUGAAGGUGCAGGGCGACCGCUUUACUGAGGCCAGGCAUCCGGGCAGGUGCAGGAUUUGCCAGGGUGCGGCCUCCAGGUGCACAUUUCAGCAGCUGCACUGGGGUCUCCAGACCUCCCCAUGCUCUUGGUCACAGCUUAGACCAGGGUAGCAGGGUGGGAGGUAACUUAGAGGCAGGGACAGACAGCAGGCCACCAGUGCCCCCCAGCCAUUUGUUGGGACAUACGGACAGGGCUGGCGGCUUUCUGGGGUCCAAGUGAAGUGCGGCAGAAGCGGGGUCUCUAUUCAAGUCUCCUGCCCUCCAGCCCACUGUCCCCAGAAAAUCCAGCCGCUUUUCUUGCCAGAAGCAGGGCUAAGAUGGCUGCAGGGUCAGAGCGCCCCAAGGGACUCGCUCCUUGAGCUCAGCGAGCGAGCGAAGGACCACCCAGCAGGGAAGCAUGACCUGAGCAAUAGCGUCCCCUUGAUGCUCAUCUCCUGGUUUCAGCUGUGUUUACAAGGCUACCUGAUUUUUUUUUCUUCUAACAGCUGUCACUUUUUUUUUUUAAUUUUCUUAACCCUUUUACAAAGUCAUUCAAAGACUCAGUGCUGAAGGGUUUGAAGACUGAUGGGUUGGUCACACUGCAGCCAGUAAGAAAUACUCUGCAGGUCACCCACAUCUUUGCUGUCCAAAGAUCCCACAUUCAAUUCUGGUGACCAUUUAUCUUCCAAAGCUAAAACCAAGGGUGUAGGCCGAGACUUUUCUUGAAUUCAGGAUUGCCCUGGGGAAAGCCAGGUCCUGUAACUGAUUCUCCUGACUCCAAGACUUGAGCUUCAAAGGUUUGUCCCAGACACAUUCCAGAGAAUUUUGUAUCAGAACUCAGAUGCACAGUCCAGCUUACUACUGAUAAAUGCCUGAACACUGUUCAGGGAGAAGCCCUUCCUCCCGCCCACUACUCUGUCUCAUCAGUUAGAAGAGUUGGAUGUGGUGGGAGGCAGUAGCCCAGGGCUGUACUUGGUUUCUACUGAACCCUUCUUGCCAUAUGGGACUUGCAGUGUGCCCCCCUGGCCCCGCCCAGCCUCUCCCCUUCUCGUGCAGCUUUAAAUUUACUUUUAUUUAAAGAGGAACGGAUGAGAGCAAGUUGCUUCCCCUGCCCUGAACACCUUGCAUUCCCUAUGGGGGACACAGAAGACAUGGGGGGGCAGGGGAGGGGUGCAUGAGCAGCCUUCUCCCAGGGCUCCAGGAUGUCUUCCUGGUGAUAUGAUGACAGGCUGCUGCACAUGUUUGUUUGGAAACCAAGCCAAAUGCCUGCUAGGCAACCAGAGGUCUGGGUGAAGGCUGUCUCCCCUACUCAGCCCAGGAGCGCCUGUCCCAGGCCAGCCUGCCAUCCCUGGAGCAGGGGGCCACCUCCCAGGGUCCAUUCCUGGGUCAGGGUGCCUGGCUGUGGGCGUGUGGGCAGGAGGCUCACCUUGGAACGUCCCUGUGGCAAGCACCAAGGACCCUGAGGGCUGGAGGGUAGCUGAGCAGCUGUGCAUUGUUGGGGGCAGGGCCAUUAUGGCUCCCACAGGCCAGGAAUCCGCCUGGGAAUCUCUGUGCUGGGUAUACUAGGGGUCUCAGCCACCCUGGACUUCACAGACGGCCCCUCUUCCCAAAGCCAUUGAUGGAGUUUCUCUGGGAUUGUUUGCCAAACCCCACGGUAGACUCCAAGGGUCCAAGACCAUUUCCAUCGAGCACACUUUUCUUUUAUGUAGGAACUUUUGGUUUUGUUUUGUUUUGUUUUUUUAACCAGCACCACACCAUGCUUCCGAAGGCCACGUCUCGUCUUUCCCGGAUCACUACAGUGAAGUAUUACAGUUGUACAGUUCCCAAUCUGGCCUUGGCUUGCUCGGAUAAAACUUUGUAUGUAUUUUGUAAGGCAUAGAUUCUAUAUUGUAAUGAUGUCCUAUGCAAAAAGAAAAAAAAAUUAACGAAACUGUAAAUUUUAUUGUUUUAACGUGUAUGCAUGUUUAGUGACGUUUACAUUUUGAAAUAAAAUUUAUGAUUCAUUA